rnacentral:rRNA from 1 species
ACGAUGAAGAGUUUGAUCCUGGCUCAGGAUGAACGCUAGCGGCAGGCCUAACACAUGCAAGUCGAGGGGUAGAAGGAGCUUGCUUCUUUGAGACCGGCGAACGGG